GAGUUUGAUCUUGGCUCAGAUUGAACGCUGGCGGCAUGCCUUACACAUGCAAGUCGAACGGCAGCGCGGGAGCAAUCCUGGCGGCGAGUGGCGAACGGGUGAGUAAUACAUCGGAACGUGCCCAAUCGUGGGGGAUAACGCAGCGAAAGCUGUGCUAAUACCGCAUAAGAUCUACGGAUGAAAGCAGGGGAUCGCAAGACCUUGCGCGAAUGGAGCGGCCGAUGGCAGAUUAGGUAGUUGGUGAGGUAAAGGCUCACCAAGCCUUCGAUCUGUAGCUGGUCUGAGAGGACGACCAGCCACACUGGGACUGAGACACGGCCCAGACUCCUACGGAGGCAGCAGUGGGGAAUUUUGGACAAUGGGCGAAAGCCUGAUCCAGCCAUGCCGCGUGCAGGAUGAAGGCCU
rnacentral:rRNA from 1 species